rnacentral:rRNA from 1 species
GGCUUAGAGUUUGAUCAUGGCUCAGGAUGAACGCUGGCGGCGUGCUUAACACAUGCAAGUCGAACGAAGCACUGGGGAACGGAGAUUUCGGUUGAAGUUUUCCUUUGACUGAGUGGCGGACGGGUGAGUAACGCGUGGGUAACCUGCCCUGUACAGGGGGAUAACAGUUAGAAAUGACUGCUAAUACCGCAUAAGCGCACAGCUUCGCAUGGAGCGGUGUGAAAAACUGAGGUGGUACAGGAUGGGCCCGCGUUGGAUUAGCUAGUUGGCGGAGUAACGGCCCACCAAGGCGACGAUCCAUAGCCGGCCUGAGAGGGUGAACGGCCACAUUGGGACUGAGACACGGCCCAAACUCCUACGGGAGGCAGCAGUGGGGAAUAUUGCACAAUGGGGGAAACCCUGAUGCAGCGACGCCGCGUGAAGGAAGAAGUAUCUCGGUAUGUAAACUUCUAUCAGCAGGGAAGAAAGUGACGGUACCUGACUAAGAAGCCCCGGCUAAUUACGUGCCAGCAGCCGCGGUAAUACGUAAGGGGCAAGCGUUAUCCGGAUUACUGGGUGUAAAGGGAGCGUAGACGGAGAGGCAAGUCUGAUGUGAAAGGCAUGGGCUCAACCUGUGGACUGCAUUGGAAACUGUUUUUCUAGAGUGCCGGAGAGGCAGGCG